UCGGUCAAUUUUUUAACCAAAAUUUCUAGACUUGUACAUGAGUAUAUAUAGUAAUAUGAUUAGUGUUUUUAAGGUGCCAAGAUAGGCAUUUAAUUAAAUGCAAGAUGCAGAAUGUUGUUUUUCAUUACCACUGGUUCUUAUUAUUAGUUGUUGACAAUCUCUCAUGAGAUUUUUUUUAAUACAAGAUUGCUUGCCUAUACUGUGAUUCUUUGAAUGAUCAUCUACAUGGGAAUCUUUGGAGAUUAUCAAAUGGAAGAAAAAGAGAAUGCUCCUGUCAUAGCAUGAUCAGACGAAGAUUUUCACACAAUGUCAUACUCAUCCAGUACGUCUCCUAUGAAUAACCUGGAAUUGUCUUCUUAACUUCUUAUUAAUGGGGAAACCCCAUGAAUGGUUUGUCAAUAGAGCUUCAUUCAUGCUAUUGCAAAUGUGCGGAAGGUAAUAAUGAUGCAUUUGCACUAUUGGGGAGUUUUUCCCAGACUGCACUUCAGCACAGGCUAUUCGCCCUCACUGGGAUCAUUUUCAGAGUUGACUUCUGUCUCAUUUCAGGUACAGAGAACUAUUUUAUUUGAGCUGGAUAUAUAUCAUGUUGUUAAAUAUAAAAAAAAAUUAUUUUGUUCUGUUUGGGACAGAACCAUAUUUUUCAGACAUGCACAGUAGCCUGAUAAUGACACAUGAAACAUCCAAUGAUGAUAUACUAAUGAUAUAGCAACGUGCUUGGCUUUUGUAUGCAGAACAUGAGUGCACUUUUGUUUCAUUAUUAUUUCAUUAUAGCGAUUGCACAACUGUACAGAACUUAUGCUCCUGUUAUCUUCUGUGUGAAUAUUGUGGAAUUGGUCCUAGUGUGAUAAUCUCCUUUGUGCCUGUGCAGACCAUCUUCAGAAACUUCUAGAGCUAGAUCUCUUUGGCUGGGAGCCCACCCUUUCCUAUACCACGCAUGCUCACUUCCAUGUCCAUGAGAGCAGCUAGCAACCAAGGAAGUCGAACACAGCAAUAGAAGGACGAAGAAUGGAUUGUGUGAGUUCACUCAUGACCACUUGAAGAACCAGUUACAGGAGCUGGCCGUUCUCAUCCAGAAACCUUGCUGGGUGGAAAUCAUCUGGUUCCUCCCAUAUCCUGGGAUCUCGGUGGACAGACCACAAGUUAGGAAUGAUUACGCUGCCCUUUGGAAUAGUGUAGCCUUGAAGCACUU